UACAGAGGUCCCAAGCGUUGUUCGGAUUCACUGGGCGUAAAGGGUGCGUAGGCGGUCGGGUAAGUCUGAUGUGAAAUCUCACAGCUUAACUGUGAAACUGCAUUGGAUACUAUCCGGCUCGAGGAAUGGAGGGGAGACUGGAAUACUUGGUGUAGCAGUGAAAUGCGUAGAUAUCAAGUGGAACACCAGUGGCGAAGGCGAGUCUCUGGGCCGAUAUUGACGCUGAGGAGCGAAAGCGUGGGGAGCGAACAGG
rnacentral:rRNA from 1 species